GGGUUUGACAUGACAAGUGGUAGUGAUCCGAAAGGUGAACGACCCGCAAGGGAGCUUGCACAGGUGUUUGCAUGGCUGUCGUCAGCUCGUGUCGUGAGAUGUUCGGUUAAGUCCGCUAACGAGCGCAACCCUCGCUGUAUGUUACAUGUGUCAUACAGGACCGCCGGUAUCAAGCCGGAGGAAGGUGGGGAUGACGUCAAGUCCGCAUGGCCUUUAUGUCCGGGGCUACACACACGCUACAAUGGUCGGUACAAUGGGUUGCUAAGCCGCGAGGUGGAGCCAAUCCCCCAAAGCCGGCCUCAGUUCAGAUUGCAGGCUGCAACUCGCCUGCAUGAAGCUGGAGUUGCUAGUAAACGCGCGUCAGCUAUAGUGCGUUGAAUACGUUCUCGGGCCUU
rnacentral:rRNA from 1 species